GCCCUCGUAGCUCAACGGAUUAGAGCGCUCCCGUCCUAAGGGAUCGAUCGGGGUUCAAUUCCUCGCGAGGGCA
rnacentral:tRNA from 3 species